AACUUAUGAUUUGAUAGAAUUACAUAUUUCACUCACAUCGUGACUAAUUUUAUUUUUAAAAAUGACUUGAAUAUCGAAGAUAUUAUUCAUUUUAAACAUUUGAUGACACUCCUCAUCUAUCACAUACUACAAGCUUCUUAAGUAAAUGAAAAAAUAUGCCAAAUAAUAUGUUCAUGUAUCCAAAUGUGUAGAAUGAAUAACAUAUUCAACCGUCAAGUCACUUUUUUCAGAAUAAGACAAAUCACAUCGUAGGUAAAAUAUGUAAUCCUAUCAAAUUAUGAAUGCCAACAUCUUUCAACGAACGAAAUUUAAACUCCUAACUUUCACCCACACAAGAAAAACUUUAUUCUGAACAAGAUAUUAU
rnacentral:lncRNA from 1 species